ensembl:lncRNA
UUUGAAUAGAAAGCUUAAUUCAAUUUUUUAGUUAAUUCAGAAAUGUAUGUUCUCAUUUGAAGUUGUAUGGAUUGCUUUUGUGACACUUUUGAACAUGCUUUGUGUCGUUUUUGAGGCUGAAAACCUUAGGAAUUGCAUAGAAGAGAGCAACAAGCAUCUUAAGAAUUUCUCCUUGUGUUCCACGGAAGAAUUAAGUCAUAAAGGUCUGGAACGACAUGAGGUUGCAGGGAAAAGCUGGAGUGGCAGAUGCUUAAUUGGACAUAAUGAAAGCCAGAGGGGAUGAAGCAUGACUAGGUUCAGUGGUCGCUCACUAUUUUCUCAUCAGUUUUGCUUAUUCAGUUUUAUUUAUAUCAUUAAACAUAAACAGUGGGCCCAAAAAAAAUUAUCUUCUUUUUUUUUAACAGUACACUACCAGUCAAAAGUUUGGUGCCCGUAAGGUAUUUUUAUGUUUUUGAAAAAACUUUCUUCUUUGCCAAUGCUGCAUUUUUUUUUUAUUUGGUCAAAAUACACUAAAAUAGUAAUAUUGUGAAAUGUUAUUACAAUUUGUAAUCCAUUACUUUAUUCCUGCAUUUAUUUAUUUUUUUCUAGUCUUCAGUAUCACAUGAUCCUUCAGAAAUAAUUCCAGUUAGCUGAUUCGGUGCAUGAAUAAACUGAAUAAACAUUUCA